rnacentral:rRNA from 1 species
AGUGAACGCUGGCGGUAGGCCUAACACAUGCAAGUCGAACGGCAGCACAGUAAGAGCUUGCUCUUACGGGUGGCGAGUGGCGGACGGGUGAGGAAUACAUCGGAAUCUACUUUUUCGUGGGGGAUAACGUAGGGGAACUUACGCUAAUACCGCAUACGACCUACGGGUGAAAGCAGGGGAUCUUCGGACCUUGCGCGAUUGAAUGAGCCGAUGUCGGAUUAGCUAGUUGGCGGGGUAAAGGCCCACCAAGGCGACGAUCCGUAGCUGGUCUGAGAGGAUGAUCCGCCACACUGGAACUGAGACACGGUCCAGACUCCUACGGGAGGCCGCAGUGGGGAAUAUUGGACAAUGGGCGCAAGCCUGAUCCAGCCAUACCGCGUGGGUGAAGAAGGCCUUCGGGUUGUAAAGCCCUUUUGUUGGGAAAGAAAAGCAGCAGGUUAAUACCCCGCUGUUCUGACGGUACCCAAAGAAUAAGCACCGGCUAACUUCGUG